CACUCCUACGGGAGGCAGCAGUGGGGAAUUUUGGACAAUGGGCGAAAGCCUGAUCCAGCCAUGCCGCGUGCAGGAUGAAGGCCUUCGGGUUGUAAACUGCUUUUGUACGGAACGAAACGGCCUUUUCUAAUAAAGAGGGCUAAUGACGGUACCGUAAGAAUAAGCACCGGCUAACUACGUGCCAGCAGCCGCGGUAAUACGUAGGGUGCAAGCGUUAAUCGGAAUUACUGGGCGUAAAGCGUGCGCAGGCGGUUAUGUAAGACAGUUGUGAAAUCCCCGGGCUCAACCUGGGAACUGCAUCUGUGACUGCAUAGCUAGAGUACGGUAGAGGGGGAUGGAAUUCCGCGUGUAGCAGUGAAAUGCGUAGAUAUGCGGAGGAACACCGAUGGCGAAGGCAAUCCCCUGGACCUGUACUGACGCUCAUGCACGAAAGCGUGGGGAGCAAACAGGAUUAGAUACCCUAGUAGUCCCAUGA
rnacentral:rRNA from 1 species